GACGAACCGAGCGAACGUUGUUCGGAAUCACUGGGCUUAAAGGGCGCGUAGGCGGGUGCUCAAGUCCGGGGUGAAAUCCUCCAGCUCAACUGGAGAACUGCCUCGGAUACUGGGUGUCUCGAGUGUGGUAGGGGUAUGCGGAACUAUCGGUGGAGCGGUGAAAUGCGUUGAUAUCGAUAGGAACUCCGGUGGCGAAGGCGGCAUACUGGACCACUACUGACGCUGAUGCGCGAAAGCGUGGGUAGCAAACAGG
rnacentral:rRNA from 1 species